rfam:Candidatus Burkholderia kirkii TZHbot1, WGS project CAFE01000000 data, contig: bkir_c235
CGCAUUUUUCGCCCAGGCGGAGCUCGACCCCGCCGCUUGAAGUCCUGAAGGCCUUUAUCGAUCAGCAUCGCGACACCUUCGGGGUCGAGCCGAUCUGCAAGGUCUUGCGGAUUGCCCCG